AACCAAAGUGCACCUCUGAGAAGAUGGAUCCUGAUGCAGUUUACUCAAAAAUGUGCGACUCUUCAGAGGUCAGGACCAAAGCAUCGCAUCACAGCCAUGAGGUGGGUCAGAGCCGUGCUGGGAGAGACUCUCUGUACAAGAGGACAUCACUGCUCUUCAUCUCUCUGUGGAUCAUCACUCUGAUCUCCCUCACCACUGCACUGGGCCUCUACUAUCAACAGCAGAGUGAACUGAAGGAGCAACUCAGCAACUUCACUUCCCAC